rnacentral:rRNA from 1 species
UCUCCUACGGGGCGCAGCAGUGGGGGAUAUUGCACAAUGGAGGAAACUCUGAUGCAGCGACGCCGCGUGAGGGAAGACGGUCUUCGGAUUGUAAACCUCUGUCUUUGGGGAAGAAAAUGACGGUACCCAAAGAGGAAGCUCCGGCUAACUACGUGCCAGCAGCCGCGGUAAUACGAAGGGAGCGAGAGUUGUCCGGAAUUAAUGGGUGUAAAGGGAGCGUAGGCGGGCGAGAAAGUUGAAUGUUAAAUCUACCGGAGUAACUGGUAGCUGCGUUCAAAA